rnacentral:misc_RNA from 1 species
GAUAUAUAUAUAUAUAUAUAUAGUUAUUGUGGAUCUCUUCUGUGGUUAUGUUUAUAUUUGUUGAGUUCUUUGGUUAUGGCAAAAGACUUCUCUUUUAAUUUUGCUUUAGCAAACAACAAAUAUAUGAUACUUGUCGUUAAGUCAUGUCUUGUGGUUUUGCAAUAAUUUGACUAGCAAAUGCGCCCUGUUAUGGAAUUGAAUGUUAGUGUUCUCAUUCCUCAUAGUUUUUUGCAUUAAUUUUAUUCUGAUAUUUCUGGCUUUUUCAUUCAAUUGAGUAACUUGUAGCCAUCCAAUUUCCCUCUCCAAAUCUCUUUUGCAUGUCUUCUAUUCACCUCUUAUUGCAAUGAAGUAUCUCAUGGGCUUCUGUCUUUGUGAAUUACAAAUGAGGAGUUUUAUGCAUAUGUAGGCUGUAAAAUACAAUAAUCUGAAAUAAUUUUAGGCUAGGAUUAAAAUGACGAGGUCAUUUGGAUGUUGACACUUUAGGGGCAAUUUUGGAUGAAUAGUUGGUACUUGAUACGAUAAACACAACUAAAUCAAAUAUGCACAAACAAUUUAGAUUCAAAAGUUUCAGGAUAAGCAACAAUAGAGUGCAAAAUACAUUAAUGUAAAAGAAGAAAGGUGAUAAUAUCCUGAUAGCAACCUUUUAUACUGUUCUGAUAAGUGAAAAAGAUCUCUCUUUAUCCGGAUGAAGAGUUUGACUGCAUGGUGGAUAGCUCUUGAACACUGGGGAAAUAUGAUUGUAUGGAGCAAAAAAAAAAAAAAUUGUGUGUUCAGAUCAUGUAAAUAUGAGGUUCUUGACUCUCUGCAAACAACAAGACUGAUGAUAAGUGAAGGGAUGGGAUUAGCAAUUGGUUUCAAUUUGAGAGAAGUAGGAAAUGGUGUUGAUUGAGGCAAUUCACAAAGUUAGCUGAGAAGGUGUGAAUCUACCUGCAAUACAAAUGAGUUACACUCACACAUCAUUGCUGAAGUCAUAGCGCUGAAGUUGUGGUCUCACAUAUUGGUAGUUAAGAUUGAUGACAAAAUGGGAUUGCUCACCUUAUAAGCAAAAUCUACUAAAUGUAAUUGGGCUUAAUUGUAGAGGUGAAACAUGUGAGAAUUAUUUGAGUUACCAAUUACAUGACUGACUGACUGACUGACUAAGAGCAUGACUCUAAAAGCUAAGAAUUAACCUAAGAUUUACCAGAUGAGCUCAAAUGCAUAUAGACCUAAAACAAACUGAGAUUCAUGAGAUUGGUUUGUUACACUUUCUCACUUUAUUAGGUUUAUGUAAUGCUUGUUUGCAACUGGAGACAAACGGGAAACACCUCUUUGACCUCAUCAAUAUUAACUAAAUGUGGGCUGAUGAGAUUAUAUCUUGUGACGCAGGUACUUGAAGAGUGGACCAGGAAAUCUUGAAAAAGAUGUGGAGAGGAGAUUCAGCUAUGCAUUAAGUCGGGAGGAUAUUGAAAAUGCUAUUCUUGGAGGACCUUAGAGAGAAGAGAACAAUCAUUCCUCCUGCCAUUGUAUGUUGUAGCUACUAAUGGGAGUAAUUUACCUCCAGGAGUUGCAUUAUUUAUUAUAUAUUCAAGUAGAAUAUUAUUACUAACUCCUCCGAUGAGCAAUUCUUUAUUUUUUCAGUUUGGAGCAUUGGUAACAUCAGUCGGGCCUUUGUUUUAUAAUUUUCUUUGGUUGUGAUCUCCAACCUCUCCAACUCCUGUUGUCAGUCACUUGGAAGGCACCAUACCUUUUGUUAUUGGGAUCUCAUGUUAAAACAUGGUCUUUUACGGAAUUAGAAUUAAUACAAAUGAUUUUUUUUCUACUACAUGCAUCUAACAAUCUUUGUACUUAUGUAUGGAACCUAGAAUACGGACUUUAGUUCUUCAUUUUUGGUAUAUAGUCUAGGGCUAAGUAUUCGGUUUAAACCGAAUCAAAAUGAAUCGAAUCAUCAAAAUUGAAUUAUUAUGUUUUAGAAAUCGAAUCGAAUUGAAAUGGAUGAAAAAUUGAAUCGAAUCGAAUUGUUUUAUUUCGGUUUGAUUUAGUUCAAAGUGAUCGGUUUUAAUUUUUUAUUAUUUUUUAAUUUAG